rnacentral:rRNA from 1 species
GACGAACGCUGGCGGCGUGCCUAAUACAUGCAAGUUGAGCGAUGAAGAUUGGUGCUUGCACCAAUUUGAAGAGCAGCGAACGGGUGAGUAACGCGUGGGGAAUCUGCCUUUGAGCGGGGGACAACAUUUGGAAACGAAUGCUAAUACCGCAUAACAACUUUAAACAUAAGUUUUAAGUUUGAAAGAUGCAAUUGCAUCACUCAAAGAUGAUCCCGCGUUGUAUUAGCUAGUUGGUGAGGUAAAGGCUCACCAAGGCGAUGAUACAUAGCCGACCUGAGAGGGUGAUCGGCCACAUUGGGACUGAGACACGGCCCAAGCUCCUACGGGAGGCAGCAGUAGGGAAUCUUCGGCAAUGGACGAAAGUCUGACCGAGCAACGCCGCGUGAGUGAAGAAGGUUUUCGGAUCGUAAAACUCUGUUGGUAGAGAAGAACGUUGGUGAGAGUGGAAAGCUCAUCAAGUGACGGUAACUACCCAGAAAGGGACGGCUAACUACGUG